rnacentral:rRNA from 1 species
CCUGAUGCAGCCAUGCCGCGUGUGUGAAGAAGGCCUUCGGGUUGUAAAGCACUUUCAGCAGUGAGGAAGGUGGUGUGCUUAAUACGUACAUCAUUUGACGUUAGCUGCAGAAGAAGCACCGGCUAACUCCGUGCCAGCAGCCGCGGUAAUACGGAGGGUGCGAGCGUUAAUCGGAAUUACUGGGCGUAAAGCGCAUGCAGGUGGUUUGUUAAGUCAGAUGUGAAAGCCCGGGGCUCAACCUCGGAAGGUCAUUUGAAACUGGCAAACUGGAGUACUGUAGAGGGGGGUAGAAUUUCAGGUGUAGCGGUGAAAUGCGUAGAGAUCUGAAGGAAUACCAGUGGCGAAGGCGGCCCCCUGGACAGAUACUGACACUCAGAUGCGAAAGCGUGGGGAGCAAACAGGAUUAGAUACCCUGGUAGUCCACGCCGUAAACGAUGUCUACUUGGAGGUUGCGGUCUUGAACUGUGGCUUUCGGAGCUAACGCGUUAAGUAGACCGCCUGGGGAGUACGG